AAAUGUACAAAAAUAGAGAGGUUGAGGACGUUAUAACAGUGUCAAGAAUUGCUUAUAUGUAAAGUAUUAUAAUUGAAAUUACAAAAUCAAUUCAAUAUAAGACAUCAAUAAAAAUAAUACCAAAAUAGUUAUGAUAGGAAAUCAUCAUCUUAGCAACCAUACACUCCAAUAACUAAUAAGUUAUGAUACAUAUGGAAUGCAAGAAAACAC
rnacentral:lncRNA from 1 species